rnacentral:lncRNA from 1 species
UCUGGUGUCGCUGUCGUCGCUUGAUGUGACAGUAGAAAAGAUCAAACGGCUGGUGAUGAAGGUCGUUGAGAAACAUAUCAUUUUCAACAAGUUGAUUUAGCAAAACACGGUAAGAGCAAUGGUCUGGUACUCCGGCCAAACUGGUGACGCUCUGAUUAUAUCACUCGGGCUAAUAAAGAUGGUAAUGAAGUAAGAAGUAUUAGUCUGACUCUAGGGUUCCGAUUAAGUUCCGCUAGCUUAGACUUGAUUCCGGGAAAGUACUAUAUGUUGUAUUUCUACGAAGAAG